CGCGUAGACGGUUUUGUAAGUCAGAUGUGAAAUCCCUGGGCUCAACCUGGGAACUGCAUUUGAAACUGCAUGGCUAGAGUAUGGAAGAGGGAAGUGGAAUUUCCGGUGUAGCGGUGAAAUGCGUAGAUAUCGGAAGGAACACCAGUGGCGAAAGCGACUUCCUGGUCCAAUACUGACGUUCAUGUGCGAAAGCGUGGGGAGCAAACAGGAUUAGAUACCCUGGUAGUCCACGCCAUAAACGAUGACAACUAGAUGUUGGGAGGGUCUGCCUCCCGGUGUCGCAGCUAACGCGUUAAGUUGUCCGCCUGGGGAGUACGGCCGCAAGGUUGAA
rnacentral:rRNA from 1 species